rnacentral:rRNA from 1 species
GACGAACCGUGCGAACGUUAUUCGGAAUCACUGGGCUUAAAGGGCGCGUAGGCGGGCGGCCGAGUCCGGGGUGAAAGCCCCCAGCUCAACUGGGGAAGUGCCUCGGAUACCGGCCGUCUCGAGGGGGAUAGGGGCGUGCGGAACUUCCGGUGGAGCGGUGAAAUGCGUAGAUAUCGGAAAGAACACCAACGGCGAAAGCACUCUGCUGGGCCGACACUGACACUGAGAGACGAAAGCUAGGGGAGCGAACGGG